rnacentral:rRNA from 1 species
AACGAACGCUGGCGGCAUGCCUAACACAUGCAAGUCGAACGCGUGUAGCAAUACACGAGUGGCGGACGGGUGAGUAACGCGUGGGAACCUGCCCAAUGGUAGGGAAUAACUGCGGGAAACUGCAGCUAAUACCCUAUGCUCCCUACGGGGGAAAGAUUUAUCGCCAUUGGAGGGGCCCGCGUCGGAUUAGCUAGUUGGCGGGGUAACGGCCCACCAAGGCUACGAUCCGUAGCUGGUCUGAGAGGAUGAUCAGCCACACUGGGACUGAGAUACGGCCCAGACUCCUACGGGAGGCAGCAGUGGGGAAUAUUGGACAAUGGGGAAACCCUGAUCCAGCAAUGCCGCGUGAGUGAAGAAGGCCUUAGGGUUGUAAAG